rnacentral:rRNA from 1 species
AACGAACGCUGGCGGCAUGCCUAACACAUGCAAGUCGAACGAGAUCUUCGGGUCUAGUGGCGCACGGGUGCGUAACGCGUGGGAAUCUGCCCUUUGGUUCGGAAUAACAGUUGGAAACGACUGCUAAUACCGGAUGAUGACGAAAGUCCAAAGAUUUAUCGCCAGAGGAUGAGCCCGCGUAGGAUUAGCUAGUUGGUGUGGUAAAGGCGCGCCAAGGCGACGAUCCUUAGCUGGUCUGAGAGGAUGAUCAGCCAAACUGGGACUGAGACACGGCCCAGACUCCUACGGGAGGCAGCAGUGGGGGGUAUUGGACAAUGGGCGAAAGCCUGAUCCAGCAAUGCCGCGUGAGUGAUGAAGGCCUUAGGGUUGUAAAGCUCUUUUACCCGGGAUGAUAAUGACAGUACCGGGAGAAUAAGCUCCGGCUAACUCCGUGCCAGCCGCCGCCGUAA